UAUCUCCCUAGCCUUUCUUUCUCUCUCUUCCACUUCUUCACAAUCAAACUCACUUCCCACAUCUCUCAGCCAAUUGAUCGAUUCCCUCACUUCCCACAUCUCCCUCUACAAUUCCCACUUACUAAUUUCACCAUCUUCUUGACAAUCAAACCCUAACCCUAGAUCUUCAAUUCUCAAAUGGUUCGCAUCACUCACGCCUCCACAACGGCAAUCCCACCUCACAAUCGUUGAUCAAUCGUUCACACAACUGUUAAUUUAAUUGCAACUCAAGCUCAAACACAAUGGCCAUGGCUUGUUUAUUAUUCUUCCUGAUAUACCCUCAUCAAACCCUAACAUCCCCAGCUUCUUCUGUUUCCGGAAAUCUCAUGGGUUAUUGACCAGAGUUAGUUUGGGUUCGGACCCAGAGAAGCGGAUCUGUGAAAGCUUACAGCUUUUCGAUUCGAAAGAAGGGGAAGUGAUAGAUGCUCUUCGGCAAGAAGCUGAGGAUCAAGCGGCCUAUGUCAUGGAGAAAGUUUAUGAAACUGAACAUGAAGUUAGGUCGCUCAAAACAAUGACCCAAAGAAUGGUACUCACACAUGAAGAGAUGGUAUCUACUACCAUGAGAUUACCCAUUCUACUUGUUUUUUUUUUUUUUUUUUUUUUGUUGUUGUAAUUAACUAUUGCAUUUGUUAUAUUAGAUAUAAAAACUGAAGUAUGUCAAGCACGUGAUUUGAAUAAUCAUACUUGUAAUA